ACGGGUGGAGGUAACGACGUGGAAACCGUAGCCGUAUACUGGGGAGUAACACUUAGAAAUAAGGUGCUAAUACCGCAUAAGCGCACAGCUUCGCAUGAAGCGGUGUGAAAAACUCUGGUGGUAUACGAUGGUUCCGCGUCUGAUUAGCUAGUUGGUGGGGUAAUGGCCUACCAAGGCAACGAUCAGUAGCCGGCCUGAGAGGGUGAACGGCCACAUUGGGACUGAGACACGGCCCAAACUCCUACGGGAGGCAGCAG
rnacentral:rRNA from 1 species